CCGGAACGGACGACGAGCUCGCGCCGUUCAGCGGCAGCGACGAGGAGGGCGGCGACGAGGCCGAGACGAUGACGCUCUUCUCGUCCGACUCCACGUCCGAGCUCUACCACCCCAACGGCGGCGGCAGAACCAGCAGCAGGAGGAGGAGUCAUCAUCACAGGAGCAGGAGGAGGAGGAGUCAUCAUCAAAGGAGGAGUCAUCAUCACAGGAGGAGUCACAGGAACAUAAGUCGCCGCGCGCCACGGCGUGCGCUGCCGAGAACCGGCGACCCGGCGCCGGCACCAUCCGACGCUCAUUUCCUGCCUCUGGUGUCCGUGGACACGGAGAAGCACAGGGAACGCGACAGCGUCAAGAAGCUGAUGACGACGGGCGCGGCGUCGGCGGGCAUGGCGGUGGUGAAGCGCUCGAGCAACCCCUACCUGGACUUCCGCAGCUCGAUGAUGGAGAUGGUGCUGGGGCGGCGCAUCGGCAGCGUGGGGAACAUGGAGGAGCUCCUGGGGUCGUACCUCUCGCUCAACUCGCCGCGCCACCACCCGGCCAUCCUUGCCGCCUUCGAGGACGUCUGGGAGGCCGUCUUCCGCGAGGACGAGGAGUGACUGUGAGCAACGACAGCGACUCAAAUCGUGAUGAUCAUUCAGAGUAUGGUUUGGACAGCUACGUAUAUGCCAAUGCCUCAAUUGUCAUGCAUGAUUUUAUUUGCCACUGAGAUACUGACUGUGGUACUAAUGUAUGUAACGGG
rnacentral:misc_RNA from 1 species